GAUGAACGCUGGCGGCGUGCUUAACACAUGCAAGUCGAGCGAGUGGAUUCCCUUCGGGGAUGAAGCUAGCGGCGGACGGGUGAGUAACACGUGGGCAACCUGCCUUAUAGAGGGGGAUAGCCUUCCGAAAGGAAGAUUAAUACCGCAUAACAUCAGAUUAUCGCAUGGUAGACUGAUCAAAGGAGCAAUCCGCUAUAAGAUGGGCCCGCGUCGCAUUAGCUAGUUGGUGAGGUAACGGCUCACCAAGGCGACGAUGCGUAGCCGACCUGAGAGGGUGAUCGGCCACAUUGGGACUGAGACACGGUCCAGACUCCUACGGGAGGCAGUAGUGGGGAAUAUUGCACAAUGGGGGAAACCCUGAUGCAGCAACGCCGCGUGAGUGAUGAAGGCCUUCGGGUUGUAAAGCUCUUUGAUCAGGGACGAUAAUGACGGUACCUGAAGAACAAGCCACGGCUAACUACGUGCCAGCCGCCGCCGUAAUAC
rnacentral:rRNA from 1 species